GCGCCAGCUGCAGGGCAGAGCAACCCGACAAGGUGACAUUAAACUAGCACACAACCAGCAGAAGACGCAGCCAGCUGCAGCUCCUUUGCGCACAAAGAUGGCUUACUCGGCUGCCACAUGCUCUCCACUCGACGGCGGGCAGCAAGAACUCCAAAGCCAAGCUGGCAAAUGUCAACACAAACAAUGCUAUUGGGCUGAGCUUGUGGUCGGUGGCUGGAGCUGGCGGAGAUGGGCUGAAAGCUGCACUUGGGGGCUUGCCGUCAGCUGGGUGUGCGUCGUGUUAACCCUUUGGUCCGUUCGGCGCUUAGUAAGCCCUACUGAUGUGUCUGCUGCUCUGGUGCUCUGGUAGUCUGGCAGCCUGGUGGUGGGCAGUGGCAAUUGCAGGUGCACCAGGAUGCGAGUGGUUGGUAUCAGCAGGCAACAGCCGGCCACCGCGUCCUGGCGCAUCCUGUGUUCCUUUGACGCCGCCAAGCAUCGCCGCAUGGAAUUUUGCAAUUUCUUUGGGAUUUCGAAAUUGCUUUUUCUACUUUUGCUCAGCUCGCGAGCGUCGCGCCUUUUCUUUUCGUCUGCCACCCCGCCAUCGCUUGAACCAACCGAACGCCAUCAAACUUUACCACCAUUUUACCAGGUGGUUUUUCCAACUCCCACUUCGCAUUCUGCUCAUCCUUCUUAUCCUUCAAUUCGCAUUGUUGGCCUGCGUUUCUUUUGAGGCCAGCAACGGUGUCGGCAGGAGGGAGCGCAACAGAGAGAGAGAGAAGAAAAAAAAUCGAUCAAGAAAAAUGACUUUUGUGGGUUUUCGUAAUUUUCAUUGCACGCGUAAUUGAAAUUUUCAAAUUCCUGCUUGCAUUUUUCUUUGCCCAUCUCCUGCCGUUUCCCUGAGUCCUUAUUCCGCCGCUUAUAUCCAUUUUUAUCAGCGCAGCGGCAGGAAAAGCGGAAUUUAUAUGAUGAUAAAGGAAAAUAGUCCGCCCCCUGACAGCUCUGGGUGUUCCUCUAUUUGCUCCUGUCCCAAGGACUCGCUGCUGCUCGUGGCUGUGUUUCAUUAUGCUUUCAUUAUUUGUCGAAAUUGUGUUAAUCUUUAAACUUUCGAGUUUCGAAAAAUAUUGCACAAAAGCGUUCAAUGUCGGCGCUGAUAAAUUGAUGGCAACUUAAACGACUGCGUGGCCGGAUAAGAAGCUCAAAUAGGCAACUAGUUAUGAAGUAUAAUGGCAAAUGGCUUGGCAAGCAGCUUAAAUAAGGCACUUACUCAGACGAUGUCCUCAAGGACUCAGGAAAAGAGGCCACAGCCCCGCAAGAGGAGGUAGAAGGAGUAGGAGAAGGUAGGGAGCAAGCCCGAGAAAAGCGCAUAUCCCACAACGAUAAUGAAAAUGUCACACGAGCCUCGCAUUUUCUCAUCACCAGCGGACGACGGACGACCAGGCGGGUGAGAAGGCACCGGCACAGGCAGAGGCACAGGCUCUGACACUGGCACAGCUCGAGCCUCGUCCUAGUCCUAGACUGAUGUGCGAGUGCAGUCGGCAAAAGGAGCCAAGAACAGGAACAACAAGAACAACAAUGCCAGGCAACGACAAUGUUGACAACAACAUAAAGGUAAAUCCUAAAUAAUGCGCUGCGCUCACUUCACAACACUGCACGACGGAGUCGCCGCCGUGUUGUGGGAAUUGACCCGUAAGAGAGAAUCCAGCUCAAAAAAGAUAACAGAGAGUGGCACAAGAAAAGCCAGCAGGCAAUGGAGCCGGCAGAAAAACUUGCGCCCUGCUACUUAAAGAGUUUAAUUAAAAUUGGAUCAAAUCAAGGAUCAGCAAAUUCUGAAAUUCCGCGAUUCCAACAGAAGAUUCGAAACAGAAGAACCUUGAGGCAGACAUGCCUCGAGCUAUAAACCGAACAACCGACGACAUUUGUGGUGCUGGCAAGCCAGGAGACGAAAUGCGCAACGUUCCGCUUACGGUCAUCGUUUGGAUGUGGACCCACUCCUCGGCAGGUGCUAAGAAAGCAAAACUCCCGGCGAGCACAGUAUGCGGUUAGCUUUAAGUUCCAGCGAGGCAACUACCCGAAGUACAACAAGGCGAUUAUAGUUUUGCCGCUGCUGCUGUAGACAGACUUAGUGGCUGUCGUAAGUUCUAAUUUCUUAUUAUUAGGCGUGGCCCAGCAGUGCCAGUGGUGCGAGGAGCGUAGGGGGCACCAGAAGAGGGGCUAACCGCACAAGUUUGCUGCUGUGGCAUAAAAUUAUGGCCCCAACUACCGCCGCUGCAUAUGAAAAUGGCGGCUGGCAAAUAGUUUGAGCAAACUAUUUCUUUGCCGUGCUCUCGAGUCAGUUCUUGCGUUCGGUGUUUUUGUUGUUGUUGUUGUUGUUGUUUUUGUUUUUGUUGGUGGUGCCGCUGCUGCUGUGGUUGACUUUGUUAUGGAGCUUCGGUUUUGCUUUUAUGUCUUAUGGUUUUGUUAGCUGGUCGCCAUAUUGGUUGCACGCCGGGCAGAUUGCAAUUGCAGAGCCUACUUUUUAGGGACUGGGCAGAAAGUUUUGCAUUUGCAGCUCGGCGUUGGGGAUUUAAUUAAAGCGGCGAUUGGAAUCUGCGAAGCAACUGCUUGGCCUGGCCAAAUGUCGACUUGGCACCCAACUCAAACUCGAGCUUAACCAGGUUAACAGAGAAGUUUCUACAGGCAUACAAUGAAAGUCAAUUCAGCUGUCAAAUUAAACAAUUGUACAAUGCAGCAAAUGAAGCACGAGGCAAGUGGGCAAAAACUAAGCACCAAACAAUGACGCAUUGCCAGUAAAAAGUGCAAAGUGGAAAGUGGAAAGUGCAAGGCAAUAAACCCACACAGCAGCAGAGCAAAAAAAAAAUUGAAAAACAGACAAAGGAACGCCAAGAAAAUUCACAAAAAAAAGGCGAACUGCUUCAGCUGUAGAGGAUAUGGAUGCGAAUCAGAAUGAAAAUGACGAUGACGAUGAGGAUGAGAAUGAAAAUGAGGAUGGGCUUGCCAAUGGGGGUUAGCCCAAGCCCAUUAUUGUUUCCAUUUAACUUACAACAUUUUGCACUUUGGCCAGCCAUUGAAAAUCAGCGUCAGGAAGACAUACGAGGGCCAAAAUAGAUCAAGGAGCGGACGCUGAACAAAAAAAUGGCUAAGAAAAUUGUGUGUGAAAAUGAAACUGAUUGAAAAUAGACUGACUUGAAAAAGGGCUGCACCUAAACAAAUACUUGGAGGUGCUGCGAAUUAAAUGAAGCUUGUCAAUUGCUUGAUCGAAUGCAGUUCUAGCAAAGUUUUGUGGUUACCGAUAGCUAUUAGCCGAGCAGAGUUAACUAUUCAACACUUAAACUGCUUAAUCGAGCAGUUUCCCAACACUACAAGGAUUUACUUCUUUCUCUGCGUCAUGCCUUGUCCUAAAGCUGGCCCUCCAGUCGCUAGUAGCUGCUGUCACAACUUUACCUCCAUGAAUAUUAUUAUCACGAACGUCCGCGCCGUCGCCGUCUCCAUCACAGUCUGAUGUCGCGACGCGUUGCCGGAGGGUUCUGCGUUCCCCUUUCCUAACAAAAAAAGAAAGUUGCACCGCUUUCAUGACAAUGAUGACGGCGUCUGUUUCCGCUUUUGACGCAGUUGCCGCCGCCAUUUUAGGCGCUUUCUGUGUAGCCGUAGCUUUGCAGUAUUCCCGAUUCGUGUUUUUUUCUUCCUCUUUGUGGCCUGCAGCAUUUGUCUCGGACUGAGCCUAGGUUUUCGCUCCUUUGCUAUAUAUUCUGUUUUUUGCUGCAACAACAACAACAACAACAGCAGCAGAAGCAGCAGCAGCAACAAUUACAACUUUAACGGCUACAAGUUUGCAACAGACAAACGUUGGCAGCGCCGCCGCCGUCGCCGCCGUUGCGCAAACGUUGUGCAAACUUUUCCACUUCAUUGCAUGAUUGCAAUUUUUACGCAAAACAAUUUUAUUUGUUUGAUUUUUGUUUUGUUUGCAUGCGACUGUUGCACUGUACCACGGCCGAUUGUCGCAAAGGUCUGGGGCAUGCGACUAUCCGAUCGAAUGGGGUAAACAUCAAGAUUUGCAUUAAAUGAAAAGAAAAAUUUUAGUUUAAUUGAAAAAGGGGCUCUGUAACACAAGCAUUGUUAUGAAAAGCAAGAGAUUGUUCAAGGCAUUCCA